rnacentral:rRNA from 1 species
ACAGCAGCAGCCGCGGUAAUACAGAGGGUGCGAGCGUUAAUCGGAUUUACUGGGCGUAAAGCGUGCGUAGGCGGCUAAUUGAGUCGGAUGUGAAAUCCCCGAGCUUAACUUGGGAAUUGCAUUCGAUACUGGUUAGCUAGAGUGUGGGAGAGGAUGGUAGAAUUCCAGGUGUAGCGGUGAAAUGCGUAGAGAUCUGGAGGAAUACCGAUGGCGAAGGCAGCCAUCUGGCCUAACACUGACGCUGAGGUACGAAAGCAUGGGAAGCAAACAGGAUUAGAUACCCCGGUAGUCCCUGUCUCUUAUAA